GCAACUCUGACUUCUAAGCUUAGACCGCUGCAAAAACAAAUUUCAGGGCAGGUGUGGCCGCUCACACCAGAGGCAGGGGAUCUCUGUGCAUCUGAGGCCUUGUCUACAGCCAGGACUACACAGCGAGGCUUUGUUUUAUUAAAGAAGAAGAAGAAAGACGAGGAGGAGGACAGGGGAGAGAGAGAAGCAUUCCGAGCAAACAGACCACCAGUGCAAAGGUCCUGGGGCAGAAAAGAACCUGAGCCCUGGGUUCAGUUCCCAGGAUCAUAUAAAGUGGGUGAGGCGGCACAGGUCUGUAAUCCCACCACUCAGGAGGCGGAGGCAGGAGGAUCAGGAAGUCAAGGUCAUCCUACACCAUUGCAUAGCGAGAUUGACACCCUGACUCCGAGGUGUAGAUGGGGCCGUCUGCCUAGUGCCCCCUGCCCUGCACUGGUCCUGGCGUCUAGAUGACUCCUUCUGCCGGGUUUGGAGAGGCCACCAGGGACUGAGCUCAGGUUGUGGAAGACUUGAGAGCUGAGGCCACGUCACCGUCCCGCAGGAAAAACCCAGUUUCCGCAGGCUGGGGAUAACAUGUCAAGUUCCUGUGACUACCCUCAUGAUGGGUGUGGCUUCUUACAGAGGAGGAAACUGAGGCACAGAGAGAGAACAGACCAUAGUGGCCCUGGUGUGGACCCCCGUGUGUGGAUGCAGGUGUCCUGACCUGAGCCAUGUGCUGUGUCUGCAGGAGGCUCAGCCACAACCUCUCCACAAGUGCAGGGAGCACCAGAUCCCCUAGGAGUCCCCCGCCUCGGUUUUCUAUCCCCUAAAUUGCCCCCUCACCUGGUGCUGGCUAGUUUCAUGUCAACUUGACCCAAGCUUAAGUCAUCUGAAAGGAGGGAACGGCAACAGAGAAGAUGCCUCCGUCAGAUCCAGCUAUAAGGCAUUUUCUCAGUUAGUGGUGAUGGGGAGGGCUGGCCCGCCCCAUCCCCAGGCUGGUGCCAUCCCUGGGCUGGUGGUCCUGUGUUCUAUAAGAAGGCAGACCGAGCAAGCCAUGAGGAGCAAGCCAAUAAGCAGCACCCCUCCAUGGACUCUGCAUCAGCUCCUGCCUCCAGGGUCCUGCCCUGUUUAAGUUCCUGCCCUGACCUCCUCAUGAAUGAACUAUGAUGCAGAAGUCUAAGCCAAAUAAACCCUU